AUUGUGAGCAUAUAUCACCAAUCUCUCAUUACAGUGUUUUCAAUGAUGAUACAUAAAUUGAGACAUCUACACUGGGUGAAUUUAAGCAAAACCUAAUCUGAUGUGUGAAAAAAAAAAAAAAAAUCCCCUUGUUAAAAUUCAGGUUAUUUUCAUUACUCAAUCAACAGCCUAAUUCCUAUAAAUUCCAUCCAAAAUCUCACUAACUGCUGUUUUCUCUAAGAAAAUUUGCUCUUCUAGGUCUUCUGGCUGUUUUUUAAGAGAAACUAUUUUUGACAUUUGUUUAUUAAAAAGCUACCUGUUGUACCAGAGUCAAACUAAGUUGCUAAAUUGCCCAGGCUGGACUCCAACUUGUGAUCCUCCUGCCUCCCAGAGUGACUGAAUCACAGGCCUGUGCUACAGGACCA
rnacentral:lncRNA from 1 species